AGGCAGCAGUGGGGAAUAUUGGGCAAUGGGCGCAAGCCUGACCCAGCAACGCCGCGUGAAGGAAGAAGGCUUUCGGGUUGUAAACUUCUUUUAUGAGGGACGAAACAAAUGACGGUACCUCAUGAAUAAGCCACGGCUAACUACGUGCC
rnacentral:rRNA from 1 species